ensembl:misc_RNA
GCUCCUCAGCUCCUGUGUCGCUUGGCUCCAUUUCGCCUAACUGAGAACUGCCUCUUGUUCACCUGGGCAGCUUCAGAGGACCUGGCGGUGCGCUCUGCGG